GUGGCCUCCUGAGCAGCCCCGGCUCUCCUGGGGUUUGUUGUCCCAUCUCGGGCAGUACUGCCCGCAGGGAGACCUGCAAGGCACAGCCAUUCCCAGCAGCCAGACCUGCCAGGAAGCGUUUUCCCUCAUCUCCAUCCUCAGAUCUUCAGCAUCUUCGUGCUCUUCAAAUCGUGCUGGAGAGGUUCCGGUUGGAUGCUGGGAAGCAUUGUUUUCUGAAAGAGAGAGCCAGAUGCUUGACAUUAGUGACACUGUUGAGGCUCUUGUUUUUGAAGACCCGGAUUGCUUUGGGAACGGCGGCGGCGCUGAC
rnacentral:lncRNA from 1 species